ensembl:lncRNA novel transcript
GCUUUGCUGAGGAACAUGGAAGGGGGAAAACACCGACUGUGAUAAACACCAGCAGGAUGACUGGAGUCCGCUGGAACCUGGAAUGGAGUUUUCUGACAGCAAAGGAUUACAGGAGCGUAACAGAAAUUAUGGAGAUUUCCCCGCUAGGCAUAAGGAUGCGAUCACUGUAGGCACCUGUGGGCCCAAGCAGGUUACCCACCAAUAUCCCUUUAAACACCAAAUUAUGGACUAUUAGGCCACUGCUUCAAGGCUUCUACAAAUGUGAAACCUUGACAAAUUCCCAAAUAAAAGCCAUAAAACCAA